UACGGAGGGGGCGAGCGUUAUUCGGAAUUAUUGGGCGUAAAGGGCGCGUAGGCGGCUUGACAAGUCAAAGGUGAAAUCCCUCGGCUCAACUGAGGAACUGCCUUUGAAACUGUCCGGCUUGAGGCCGGGAGGGGGUAGCGGAAUUCCCAGUGUAGCGGUGAAAUGCGUAGAUAUUGGGAGGAACACCAGUGGCGAAGGCGGCUCCCUGGACCGGUUCUGACGCUGAGGCGCGAAAGCGUGGGUAGCAAACAGG
rnacentral:rRNA from 1 species